rnacentral:rRNA from 1 species
CUUUAAUGUUCUAGUGAUAAUAGAACCACACUGAUCCAUAUCGAACUCAGAUGUGAAAUAUUUUUAAUCAGCGAAAAUACUUAGAAGUAACCUUCUUGGAAAGAUAGUUCAACAUUAAAG